rnacentral:misc_RNA from 1 species
CCUAAGUUGAUUGUUGGUUGUUCCGUGAAGUUUUUGGCCGUUCGCAACUCYGCCCCCUAAUCGGUGUUGGCCGCGCAUGGCACCGGUCGGGCUUGAAAAGACAAUCAAGCCUGUCGAUGACGAGGUACCUAUCGUAGGGUUUUUUUUUGAAUUUUUAUCNAAAUAAACUUUACGAUAGGUAUCGAGUCAUCAACAUGCGUGGGGCGGUCGGUUUCGUUGCUUCGGAUCUUGUGUAUUUUCUAGACGGACGUAAUUCGCUAAUCAUUCUUCGCUAGUGACCCGACUUAAUUGCCAUUUGCCAGCGUUUACGAGCGAUGUCGGUUGAGCUUUGCUCCGGCUUAGACUGCAAAAUAUACGUAUUGGGUUAAGCGUUACCGGCCUUGUUGGCUGAGCUUUGCUCGGCUUAGACUUGGCUAACUACGCCGGCAACUGUGGACGAGCUAUGUUGGUUGAGCUUUGCUCUGGCCUGACUGCUAGUUGCACGGAUGUUUGUUACUCGGGGCAUGUUUAGCGAAUUCACUGAACUYGAUGUAAAUACACCAGCAAGAGAUGAUGCAACGUAGCUCACCGUUUGGUUUCCUGAUUUCGUAUCGUUCGGUGCAUUCUGGGGCUGUUUUGGCUUUUGGCUGCUUGCUUUGCUUUAGGCAAAAAGCGGGUGGCUACUAGUUGGGGUGGCUUCGGGGAUGUUUUCCGUAAAGGUGCAUGAGUGGUGUUUGGUUUGUUACGUGUGGUUGGCUGCGGCGCUUGCAACAACUUCCAUGCUCUCAUACCUCUUCAGUAGUGCGGCAAGGCUUGUAUCGUCUUGAGCGUCAUGUGGGUUUUCUGUGUUGUAUACCUAAUCAACGGUAUCGGUUGGAUUGAUGAAUAGUUGCCUUUCGCCUUGCGUUGCAUUUGCGGCGUGAGGUGAACCUGAAUGCGUUCUCUUUGAUCCACCUUGUCGUAGCACAAGCUUCGGCAUUGUGGCACAUUGAGUAUUGCUUGGUUUCUUGUAUACGGAACAUAAAGUGGGCAUGGAUCUAACGAUUCUUGUUUGCCCUUGUUUCAGCGUUCUCGCUUCUUUAAAACGACU